AAAAAGUGGCACACGGAGGGCAGCCUGAUUGCUCUGUGUGCGGAAUCACCAUCAAGAGAUUUUGGAGGCAUAAUUUUUUGGCAUUUGGGCAGCUGCGGAUCACUGGUCCUGGCACCUCU
ensembl:snRNA